rnacentral:rRNA from 1 species
UACGUAGGGGGCUAGCGUUGCUCGGAAUUACUGGGCGUAAAGCGCACGUAGGCGGCUUUCUAAGUCGGGGGUGAAAUCCUGGAGCUCAACUCCAGAACUGCCUUCGAUACUGGAGAGCUUGAGUCCGGGAGAGGUGAGUGGAACUGCGAGUGUAGAGGUGAAAUUCGUAGAUAUUCGCAAGAACACCAGUGGCGAAGGCGACUUACUGGACACAUAUUGACGCUGAGGUGCGAAAGCGUGGGGAGCAAACAGG